CUCAGACAGAAAAACAGCCAUAGGGUCUUUAAAAACUGGUACACUGAUCUUUAUCUAAUAAAUAACAUGUCACAAAAAAUCUAUGAGGAACUACAGAAUUAAAACACACUACAGAAGGUACCUCAGGAAAGUAAUACCCAUCUUAUACCACUGGUGGCAUCAUCGUGAGUCCUUAGCAUGGGCAAAGCUCACUAUUUAUCAAUCAACACUCAUAAAAUAGCAUAAUAAUAAAGGCCAUUUUCAACUCUGGAUCUGUUACUGGUAAUUGGUAAGGUUUAACAAUUAAUACACCAGCAGUUCCGUGUUCUACCUACAUACCCACGGGCUUGAUGGGUAUUGUAAAUGGGCUGAAUGAUGGUCCUGGAAAAGAUAUGUCCAUGUCUUAACCCCCCGGACCUGUGAAUGCAAUUCUUUUUGGAAAAAAGGGUCCUUGCAGAUGUAAUUAAGGAUCUCAUGAUGGGAUCACCCUGAAUUAUCUGGGUAGGCCCUAAAUCCACUGAAAGUUUCCUUAUGAGACAAAAGAGGAGCAGACAGGCAUGGAGAAGAGUGGGAGACUGGAGUUAGGCAGACACAAGAGAUGCCGACAGCAUAGCCACAAGCCGGAAGAAGGAAGGGAAGAGCUGUUCCCUGGAUCCUUCAGAGGGAGCACAGCACUGCCAACACCUUGCUCCUAUACUUCUGGCCCCCGGAAGUGAGAGAAUAAAAUUUUUUUUUAAGCUACUAAAUUUGUGAUAAUUUGUUCCAGCAGCCCUAGGAAGGGA